rnacentral:rRNA from 1 species
CAGUAAAGUGGGAAGUUCCUUCGGGAACAGGAACACAGGUGGUGCAUGGUUGUCGUCAGCUCGUGUCGUGAGAUGUUGGGUUAAGUCCCGCAACGAGCGCAACCCUUAUUGUUAGUUGGUACCAUUAAGUUGACCACUCUAGCGAGACUGCCCGGGUUAACCGGGAGGAAGGUGGGGAUGACGUCAAAUCAUCAUGCCCCUUAUGUCUAGGGCUACACACGUGCUACAAUGGCAAGUACAAAGAGAAGCAAUACUGUGAAGUGGAGCAAAACUCAAAAACUUGUCUCAGUUCGGAUUGUAGGCUGAAACUCGCCUACAUGAAGCUGGAGUUGCUAGUAAUCGCGAAUCAGAAUGUCGCGGUGAAUACGUUCCCCGGGUCUUGUACAC